GACGAACGCUGGCGGCGUGCUUAACACGUGCAAGUCGAACGGAAAGGCCCUUCUUUUGUGGGGUGCUCGAGUGGCGAACGGGUGAGUAACACGUGAGUAACCUGCCCUUGACUUUGGGAUAACUUCAGGAAACUGGGGCUAAUACCGGAUAGGAGCUCCUGCUGCAUGGUGGGGGUUGGAAAGUUUCGGCGGUUGGGGAUGGACUCGCGGCUUAUCAGCUUGUUGGUGGGGUAGUGGCUUACCAAGGCUUUGACGGGUAGCCGGCCUGAGAGGGUGACCGGCCACAUUGGGACUGAGAUACGGCCCAGACUCCUACGGGAGGCAGCAGUGGGGAAUAUUGCACAAUGGGCGGAAGCCUGAUGCAGCAACGCCGCGUGCGGGAUGACGGCCUUCGGGUUGUAAACCGCUUUCGCCUGUGACGAAGCGUGAGUGACGGUAAUGGGUAAAGAAGCACCGGCUAACUACGUG
rnacentral:rRNA from 1 species